UAGGGAAUAUUAGAAAUGGACGAAAGUCUGAUCUAGCAACACCGCGUGUGCGAAGAAGGCCUUCGGGUUGUAAAGCACUUUUUGGAAGGAUUAGGAAGGAAUGUACUUCCAGAAUAAGUCUCGGCUAACUACGUGCCAGCAGCCGCGGUAACACGUAGGAGGCAAACGUUAUCCGGAUUUACUUGGCGUAAAGCGCGUGUAGGUGGUUCUGUAAGUAGGGCGUGAAAGCUCCUGGCUCAACUGGGAGAGGCCGUUCUAAACUGCAGAGCUAGAGGAUGGUAGAGGGAGGUGGAAUUCCGGGUGGAGCGGUGGAAUGCGCAGAUAUCCGGAGGAACACCAGUGGCGAAAGCGGCCUCCCGGACCAUUCCUGACACUCAGACGCGAAAGCUAGGGUAGCAAACG
rnacentral:rRNA from 1 species